AUUGAACGCUGGCGGCAUGCCUUACACAUGCAAGUCGAACGGUAACAGGUCUUCGGUUGCUGUCGAGCGGCGGACGGGUGAGUAAUACAUCGGAACGUACCCGAUCCCUGUGGGUAACGCAGCGCAAGCUGUGCUCAUACCGCAUACGAUCUACGGAUGAAAGCGGGGGAUCGCAAUACCUCGCGCCGACGGAGCGGCCGCUGGCAGAUGAGGUAGUUGGUGGGAUAAAAGCUUACCAAGCCGACGAUUUGUAGCUGGUCUGAGAGGACGACCCGCCACACUGGGACUGAGACACGGCCCAGACUCCUACGGGAGGCAGCAGUGGGGAAUUUUGGGCAAUGGGCGCAAGCCUGAUCCAGCCAUGCCGCGUGCAGGAUGAAGGUCUUCGGGUUGUAAACUGCUUUUGUUCGGAAAGAAAAAGUUCUCACGAAUACAGGCGGUUAAUGACGGUACCGUAAGAAUAAGCACCGGCUAACUACGUG
rnacentral:rRNA from 1 species